CAGCAGCCACGGUAAUACGAGGGGGGCAAGCGUUGUUCGGAAUUAUUGGGCGUAAAGCGUGCGCAGGCGGUUCGUUAAGACAGAUGUGAAAUCCCCGGGCUUAACCUGGGAACUGCAUUUGUGACUGGCGAGCUAGAGUAUGGCAGAGGGGGGUAGAAUUCCACGUGUAGCAGUGAAAUGCGUAGAGAUGUGGAGGAAUACCGAUGGCGAAGGCAGCCCCCUGGGCCAAUACUGACGCUCAUGCACGAAAGCGUGGGGAGCAAACAGGAUUAGAUACCCCCGUAGUCCCUGUCUCUUAUAC
rnacentral:rRNA from 1 species